GACGAACGCUGGCGGCGUGCUUAACACAUGCAAGUCGAACGCUGAAGCUCAGCUUUUGUUGGGUGGAUGAGUGGCGAACGGGUGAGUAACACGUGAGUAACCUGCCUCCUUCUUUGGGAUAACGCCCGGAAACGGGUGCUAAUACUGGAUAUUCACUGGUCUUCGCAUGGGGGUUGGUGGAAAGGGUUUUUCUGGUGGGGGAUGGGCUCGCGGCCUAUCAGCUUGUUGGUGGGGUGAUGGCCUACCAAGGCUUUGACGGGUAGCCGGCCUGAGAGGGUGACCGGUCACAUUGGGACUGAGAUACGGCCCAGACUCCCACGGGAGGCAGCAGUGGGGAAUAUUGCACAAUGGGCGCAAGCCUGAUGCAGCGACGCCGCGUGAGGGAUGGAGGCCUUCGGGUUGUGAACCUCUUUCGCUCAUGGUCAAGCCGCAACAAUGGUUGUGGUGAGGGUAGUGGGUAAAGAAGCGCCGGCUAACUACGU
rnacentral:rRNA from 1 species